CAGUAAAAUGUAUUAAUAUCUGUGAAGUGUUCAAAAUAACAUUUAGAUAUAUGUUUUUGAGACUCUAAAUUGCAAAACAGAAAGGCUUAACAUUAAAAUUAAUACAAUAUUCCUAAAAGAUUUAAUCAACAAAUCUUUUUAAUAAUUAUCCACUUCAGAUACUAGAAACGUCGGCUACAAUUUAUUAUCAUAUAUUUAAAAUUACUUUGCAUUUC